rnacentral:lncRNA from 1 species
CAAAACUGUACAAAUGCUUCUCUAUUAGCUAAUUUUACACUCCUUUCUAAUUUCAUUUUCCCUAGUUAGGUUCUUCUUCUUACCACUUUCUUCUUUUGUGAAUGAGUGUAGUUCCAGGGUGACGGUACCAAACAUGUAGAUCUAUUUUACUCCUUUCUUCUUACUUCUUUCUUCGACAAAUAUGUAGAUCUGUUUUAGGUAUGGUGGUUUCAUUCAUGGUUUAAUAUUUAUAUAAUGAUUCAGAAAUAAAAACUAUUUUCUUGAUCGUUUCUUUUUUUUAUGUUUCAUUUAUGGUUUCAUUCAAGCAAAAUAUGAUGGAUGUUGAUAGGUCUUUCCAGUGGCACCAUGUUGGGAAAGAAGAUACCAUUGAAAUCUUCAAUGGUAACAUUAAUAGUGAAUCUUGAAACUUAAACCUAUUGCUUAUUUUUUAACCUCCAUUUUUUCUAUUUCUUUUGAAUAAUAAAUAGUUUUAGAUGCAAAGAAUUCAGAUUCAUUAAAGGAAUGAAACUCAAAUAAACGGCUCGAAGUAAAUUUACAUGAAUGCAUUCAUUGAUACAUAAAAAUGUUAAUAAUCAUCUCUUUGUUUCCCAAUUUUUAACAAUCAUCUCUUUUGCAUUCAUGUAGCAUGGAGAGGAAGAGGUGAAUGAAGAAAUCUGUGAGCAAAAUAUGGUUGACGAAAUGUUUCACUCACUACAUUUGGAGAGAAAAGGGAGACAAUCAAACAAACACGAGUUCACUUCUAAAUUCUAAGGUCAUGUUUAUUAAAUAAUUUAAUUUCAACUUUGCAUGAGAUUCUUUCAUCACCAUUUAGGAAAUUCAUGUGACUAUCAACUCAACCUAAUUUACAUUCAUUAAUAAGAUGAUAUAAUACAAUGCAUACCUCUAUUCUAUUAGUAUGGCAAGCACACAUAUUCAAUUUAUGAGGUUCACGUUAAAGUCGUAAUGAGUAAAGCUUACAUUGUUUGUUAUUGUGUCUGUUAAUAAGUUUCAUGUACAAAGAAUUGAUUUUUUUUAAUGAAUUUUUCAUUUUUUUUCCAGCUCUUUUGUUAUUUUUGUUUGGUUAAUGCAUAAAUUCAAACUAUUAUAUCAUGCAAAUGUGAAAGUGAAAGUGAUAAUAUGAUAAGGUUUCUCAUGUGGCUAAGGAGUUGCAUUUCGAUAAGGAUGGCUCUGCUAUCGGAAAGCUCCAGGUAUAGUAGUUGUAGUGAAAGUCAUAGUCAUCACGUUGUUGAGCGAUUUUGAAAUUCAAGUGGAAUCAGGGAAUUAAUGGAAAUAACUAAAAUACAACUCAAUGGAGAUGAACAUUUAAUUAAUGUUCUGUUAAGUAUUUUUGGAUGAGAGUUGAAUCUUUUUUGGUAAUUUUAUCUAAUAGUAUUUGAAGAUGUUGAUGACAUUUUUAUGUAAUAUUUGUUUUGUUGUUUUUUAUUUUUUGUGAUUGAAAGUGGUGUGAACAAACUUGAGGAUCUGGCUGGUGUUACACUAGAACCAAAAAUGAAAAAAUAUUGUGUUGGAAAGCAAAAUGUGGAACUGUUGUUAGAGAGGUGUGUAAUGUAUAGUGUGAUGAUAUAUUUGUCUCAUUUAAAUUUAUAAUCUAAAGCUGGUUUUGAAUUAUGUAAUGCUUUUGGUUUUAUUGUAUAUUAGGAAUAUUAGGAUUAUGAUGAUUGUUGUAACAACGCAAAUUUUACGAUUUUGAAUUAUAAGAUGUUAUUAAUAUUGUUAUUAAUUAUAUUUUCGAAAAUGAAUUUCUGGGAAUUUUCGGUAAAGAAUUAGACAAAACUCUAGUUGAGUUUUAGUCUUGUAAUUCUAUUUCCAAUUUGGUGGUAUAUUUUCAUGAUUUUCGGAGACAGUCGGUUUCGGACCACUGUCGGGGCCAAAUCUCACCCGGUACGGCUCAAAAAGUGGUUUUUGAGUUCCGUAACUCGGAAUCGAAUUCUGAUUGCGCCGUUGGCUUCGAAAUUUCAUUUCGAGUCAAUAUAGACCCUGAUUACACCCAUACCUAUUUUCUAAAUAUUUUUCACUCGGAAUGCUGAAGUCCGAAAUUGUAAUCAGAUAUUAAGAUCGGGCGAUUUAUAAUUCCCGAUCGAGUAUUGGCUGAUAAUACUCAGGCGUGUUUAUUGCACUGUGUCCGCGAAGAGGUCGUUUUGCGUUGGGAUGCGAAAUUUGCUUUUCCAUAAAGUAAACCUCCCAUCACUUUCUCAAAUAUCUCAUGAGCUCAUCAUUAGCCACCCUAGGAGAUUUUUCUAUGAUUGCCUAGUGGGAAAUCUGAUUUCCUUCUCUCCUUAAACCCUCACACUUCACACUUCACUCNNNNNNNNNNNNNNNNNNNNNNNNNNNNNNNNNNNNNNNNNNNNNNNNNNNNNNNNNNNNNNNNNNNNNNNNNNNNNNNNNNNNNNNNNNNNNNNNNNNNCUUAUGAAAAUAUUUUGUUGGAACCAUGAACAACUUGUGUUCAUGGAGUUGUUAUAAUAUUGUAUUACAUGAAUUUGGUUGUUUAGCCAAAGGGGAUGAUGAUGAAAUCAAAGGAACCUUAAGGAAGUGUUUUGGAAAAAUGAGAAUGUAUGUAUUUCUAUUUGUUGUUAGCCUUAAACCAUGGCUUGGAACAUGUUGAAACAAUAGAAACUUUUGUUAAAAAGGAUGUUAAGGUUUAUGAGUACAUGAAUACCUCAUAAAACUCUUAAAGGAUACUUUGAAUAACUUACUUUAAAAUGGUAAGAUUAUCAAAGAACGUCUUAAAUCGGAACACGUAGUUUGACUAAAAACCGUACCUUUAAAUAGAUGAUAACCGUGAACGAACUUUCGAUGAAAAAUGAUGGUCAAGAACAUGUGAUGUUGGACCAGAUGGAUGAAAGGGAUGUAUAAUCACGAAGGGGGAAAGAGAAAUGAUUUUAAGUAUUUUAGUAACGAUUUUAGAAACAUCGGAAACUAACGGAUUUUUAUUUUGGUAGUUACGAAGAUUUCGGUGUUUGAACCUUGAAAACAAACCACCCUUAGUUGACGAGUUAAAGCACGCUUCAUUAAGGUGAGAGAGAAUACAUCGUGACAUAGUGGUGUCCGAAUAUGACACCCGGAUCUCCUAAACCAUCUCAAAAGUUUUGGAGUUAACUUGGGUUUUAAGAAACCCAUGAUUUUUUAUGUUUGAAUGCUUUUGAAUAUACAUGAUUGUGAUGAAAUAUGUUGAAUAUUGUAUAUGAAUGUUGUUGAAUAUUUUUUCUGUGUGCAGGUGUUUGAAAAACCAUGUUUAAAUGUGUCUUCGGUUGUCGGAAAGGGCAAAAUUGGUAUUCUGUCUAAGUCCCUGUCGCUUGGGCGAGAUACUCUCGCCUGGGCGAGGACUGGGCAAGGGACUAGGCGAGGGGAAGUUUUGACUCUGGAACUCCCUCGCCUGGGCGACAAAUCUCGCUUGGGUGAGAAAGCCCAGAAUUUUAAUGAGUUUCUGUAACUCUCUCGCUUGGGCGAGAGAUGCCUCGCUUGAGAGAGAAGAGACCCCGCUUGGGCGAUAGUACCUUCGCCUGGGCGAGGAAGGCUUAAGUUUAUUUGAGAUUUAAAGAUUGAAAUAAGAUGAGGUUAUGAAUAAUGUGAUGAACCGGGUAGGGUGUGUUGUGAUAUAAAAGUUGUGGAAUGAGAUCAUGGCUUAGAUGAGAAGCAUGAUUCCACAAAAGUGUGAAAGCAUUGUUUAUGUUUAUGCCUUGUUGGGCAAGUAUCCGACUUGAGGUCGUGAACUAGGGGGAUACCCUAGUAAGAAUACAUGAUAUCACGGAACAACGAUCGAUCGACCGUAAGAGGCUUGGUCAUGUGACCGUCCAGGAGUAUUCGGUGAUGGGUUGUUGUGAUUGAGAUGUUACCUUGAGCAUGUACGGUUGACGUACUAUCGGGGGGGGAUAGUGAAUAUGUAGUUUUCGCCUUGUUGACUUAGUUUGUAUGAACUAACUAUGACUUAACUGAUUAUAUGCAUUGUGUUAUUCAGAAAAUUGUGAAUCAGAUUAAGUUAUCAUUCGAUAACGAUAAGUUGAUUUUCCGCAUUCAAGUUACUUAAAGUGAUGUCCCGGAAAAGGAAGAUUUGAAAAGGAG